rnacentral:rRNA from 1 species
GACAGAGGGUGCAAACGUUGUUCGGAAUUACUGGGCGUAAAGCGAGUGUAGGCGGUUUGGUAAGUCGGAUGUGAAAGCCCUGGGCUCAACCCAGGAAGUGCAUUCGAAACUGCAGAGCUGGAGUCCUGGAGAGGAAGGCGGAAUUCUCGGUGUAGAGGUGAAAUUCGUAGAUAUCGAGAGGAACACCGGUGGCGAAGGCGGCCUUCUGGACAGUGACUGACGCUGAGACGCGAAAGCGUGGGGAGCAAACAGG